rnacentral:rRNA from 1 species
UCGAGAAUUUUUCUCAAUGGGCGAAAGCCUGAAGGAGCGACGCCGCGUGGAGGAUGAAGGUUUUCGGAUUGUAAACUCCUGUCAUUGGGGAACAAUUGCAAGGGGAGUAACUGCCCUUUGCUUGAUAGUACCCGAAGAGGAAGAGACGGCUAACUCUGUGCCAGCAGCCGCGGUAAUACAGAGGUCUCAAGCGUUGUUCGGAUUCAUUGGGCGUAAAGGGUGCGUAGGCGGUGAGGUAAGUUGGAUGUGAAAUCCCGGGGCUUAACCCCGGAACUGCAUUCAAUACUGCCUUGCUAGAGUACUGGAGAGGAGAUUGGAAUUCACGGUGUAGCAGUGAAAUGCGUAGAUAUCGUGAGGAAGACCAGUGGCGAAGGCGAAUCUCUGGACAGUAACUGACGCUGAGGCACGAAGGCCAGGGGAGCAAACG